AGGACCAAGGCUAUGAUGUGCCAGAUGACGCCCCUCCUUUUGAAGCUGCAUAGGAUUCAGACCUAUGCAUAUCGGCUCACAAUAAAGUGAGUGUGAUAUGGGCACCAAUGUGGGUGCGAAGCUAAGCAUCGCAAGGGAAUGUUCAUGAACCGCCUCUGAAUUCUCUGAAAAACCUGGCUUGCAUGGAGGUUGGUAUCUAAAAUAAAGACGCCCUUCCUCCCCUCCACAAAAGAUACCAAGGGCCAACGUUGACCCCCAUGAAUGGGGAGUCUCGGAGGAGCCAGGUCACUACUCCCCCAAUUGGUUAAUGCCCAACGCUAAAUAGCGGGCCUCCCCCUCUUUGGUAUAAAAGAAGGGAGGAGAUGUCGGGAGCCGUAGGCCAUAGAAACACUGGUCUCGCCCUUUUCACCUAGGCCUCUGGUUUCUCAAGCCUGCCCUGUUUAGGAAAGAUCAAUUGACCCAGCUUGUGAUUAGACCGCUGGGAUACAGAUAAAGCAGCUGCCGUGAUAACAUCUCCUCCUUAGUUAAACCUUCUGUCUUUUCUCAGUAAUCCAACACCCAUGAUCUUUUAAAGAGAACAUUCUUUAGUUAGGUAUCCUAGCAACCUAGAUAAUCCUUGCCACUUCAGCUGGGGCUGUUUCCACCUCCUAGCUCCUAUGUAAGAAUAAACUUUGAGACCUUGAUCAGACUUUCGACUUGGUCUCCUUCUUUGUGUCUGGUUUGUCUCUCAUCCAGGUUAACUUCCCCUCGAGCCCUUGUUGAACUCCCCACUGGCCGGGGCAUAUGGCGCCCAAUGUGGGGCUCGAGGUAAGAAGCCUUAUCUGGACGUUGCUCAUUUGGACGGCCGUCCUUCUUUCUUUGGAUCGCCACCCCACCGGUGAGUGAAGAUCCACAUGAAGAUCACCACAGGAGUACCCGCUUAUGACACAGAUCGAUAAAGAGGAUGUCUGCCAUGGUUCCCCAGGAAGGAACUAUAGAUGAAAAACAGUUUCGCCGAGUUGGCAACUGCCUGAAUGAUUAUUAUCAUUCCUUUGGCCCUGUGAAGACCGUCCGAGGGAGAACCGAC